GUGCUCACUUCAGCAGCACAUAUAUUAAAAAUUGGAAUGAUACAUAGAAGAUCAGUAUGGCCCCUGUGCAAGGAUGACACACAAAUCCAUUAAGUGUUCCAUAUUUUU
rnacentral:snRNA from 1 species